AUUGAACGCUGGCGGCAUGCCUUACACAUGCAAGUCGAACGGUAACGCGGGGCAACCUGGCGACGAGUGGCGAACGGGUGAGUAAUACAUCGGAACGUGCCCAGUAGUGGGGGAUAGCCCGGCGAAAGCCGGAUUAAUACCGCAUACGACCUACGGGUGAAAGCAGGGGAUCGCAAGACCUUGCGCUAUUGGAGCGGCCGAUGUCAGAUUAGGUUGUUGGUGGGGUAAAAGCCUACCAAGCCGACGAUCUGUAGCUGGUCUGAGAGGACGACCAGCCACACUGGGACUGAGACACGGCCCAGACUCCUACGGGAGGCAGCAGUGGGGAAUUUUGGACAAUGGGCGCAAGCCUGAUCCAGCCAUGCCGCGUGCGGGAAGAAGGGCCCUUCGGGUUGGUAAACCGGCUUUUGUCAGGGAGAAACGACUCCGGGCCAGCAGCCGCGGUAA
rnacentral:rRNA from 1 species